GCAGAAACUAACACACAUUGUAAAGCAAUUAUACUCCAAUAAAGAUGUUAAAAAAAACCAAAAGGUAUGUCAUCCACUAUAAAUGAUGACUGGAUCUUUUCAGACUCUGACAAUAUGAGCCACAUCUUGGGACUAUGCAGUUCUUCCUGACAUUUCCUUCCAUGAACAAUUGCACACAAUUCCACACACCUGUGUUUGCCAUUCAGUGUUCUUCACACACGUGUGACCUGCAACUCUGCUUUUGACAGGCUCCUCAUCUCCCCAGGCCCCCGUUUCCUCCUCUGCAAAUGAGGGAAAUGGCCUAUAACUCCUUCCAACCUCUUCUUCCAUCUCUAGAAUAUUCAAUACAUUAAGAGGACAGGGUUAAGAAUCAUUGCUUCGAAAGAAACUCUAAGAUUUCUAUCAUCUGAGGGCAAAGGUGGGCCUGCAAGUCAUUUAUUGUCUCAAAAAAUUAAGACCUUUCUUUAAACAUGGACCUACCAUAUGAUCCAGCCAUUCUACUCCUAGCUACUUACUCAAGAGAAAUAAAAACAUGUCUGCACAAAGACUUGUACAGGAAGCUUUAUUCCCCCAAACCACAAACUGGAAACAACCCAAAUGCCCAUUAAUAGAUGAAAGAAUAAACAAAAUGUUGUACAUCCAUACAAUGGAUUACUAUUGAGCAAUCAAAAGGAACAAAAUGAUACAUGCAAUAACAUAAAUGAAUCUCAUUAUGCUGAAUGAAGGAAGCCAGACACAAGACGACAUACUGUACAUUCUGGUUAUGUAAAAUUCUGGACAAUGCAGACUAAUCUAUUACAGUUACACAAGGCAGGUCAGUGCUUGCCUGUGGUCUGCAAAAGGUACAAGGGACCUUUUUGUGGAGGGAAAUGUUCUGUAUUUUGAUUGUGACGGUAGUUUCACAGGUGGAUGCAACUGUCAAAGCUCAUCAAAAUGUGCACUUUAAAUGAAUACAACUUAUGUAAAUUGUUUCUCAAAGUUAUCAGGGGAAAUUUUUUUGUAAGUUCUUGACUGUUCAAUCUCGGGCUUGAAGAAAAUACAUAAUGGGCAGCGGAUAAAGUUUUGAGGGGCCAUGAUAUCAAAAAAGGAAUGACAAACCCAAAAUAUUCUUAAACAUUCUGGAAAGCCCUUUAGUUUCUGGGCAGCAUGUAUGAAUUUGUAGGAAAAUAACUUAUCUUCUGAUUUCAGGUAAAGCCCAGAACAAAGAACUGCCUUGGAAGCUAAGCAAGACUCCCCAGAAGGUCUGUUGUAGCGUUUGGUAGAAUGACUAGGACAGUAACUUCUGGAAGAAGACUUCGAUUGUUGGAAUCACCCCAAGCUGAAGAAGCAACACCGGCGGCCCCUGCUUCUGUGAGGGGGCUCCUGGAUCACCAAGCAACGGCACGUCCUGGAGGUGUCGGCAGUGCUGGGGCCCACCCUUCCCCAUGGUGGUGUUUUCUGGGUCACUCUGUCUUGUCCUGAGGGCCAUGCUGUGCCGUGGCUGCGGGACACACCUUUCGUGUGUGGGCACCGUGGAUGGGCGGGUCUAACCCUGUAUCCAGUGCGUCCCUCCACUGAGCACUGUGAGGGACAGACUCCCUAACACUGCUGACACCUGUGCAUCCACAAGGCCAUUUGUCAGCGCUGAAUUCCUUGUUGAGCAAGUGGAUAAUAAAGACUUCUCCACUCUGGCUUCUGCCCACACUGCUCUGCCAAAAGUGCUCUCUCCAAGGUAACCAGUAACCUCUAUGUCGUCCAUUCCGGGGAGCAUUUCUGAGUCCUCAUCUUCCUGGAAUGCUCCUUGGAGGACCAUCUGAGAAUCCUUCUACUGCACACGGAAGAAAAUCCAACUCACAUUGUGGCAAACAAAGCAAACACAGUGCCCCCCAGCGGUGCCAGACCCCACAGGACUCGGCCGGCUCCUCAAGUGUCUCACUGCAAGCUCUCAGGUCUGCCUUUCCACAGAAGGUCAGAAAAUAGAAAUUCUGACUUUUUCAGCUACACCCAGUUCUUUCUACAAAGAGUAAACAUGAAGCUUCCUGUAGCAAAGAAAUGAAGUUUCAACCAGUUUACAGAACUCAGCAAGGUCAGGAUGAACGACAGAAUCACAAAGGACUAAGGAAUUCCACAGGGCCUAGAUUUCCAGGGGAGGCUGUCGCCUGUCUUGAAUGUCACACUAUUUAAGCUGAUAUGGAAGAAGCUCUGUAUUUUGGGCAGAUGACUAUUCAGUGCACUGAACGAUGGAUUUCAAAGCAAUCUCAACGCAGCUCACAGUAGAUCUGUCAACCCAGUGUUCUUCCAACUCAUAGCGACUCCUAGCUUUACUGGCCACUACAAGGAUAAACUACAGAAGUAAAACCUGAAGUUAUGAUCCAGGCUAUAACUGAGCUGUAUAAUAAAUAAUGAACCUCAGAUUCAAUGACGUAUAACAGACCUCAUCAUCCAAUACAAAAGCUGUAUUACUGGAACACUACUGAAGAAAAGUAAGACCAUUUACU